rnacentral:lncRNA from 1 species
CUAAAGAGCCCUGGUUUUCUUUAGUAGGGAGCAGUAUUGCAGAGCAGGAUCUGCUUGCUAGCGUGUGCACUGCAACUUGCCUCUGGAUUUAUCUACUAUAUCCUUUCAAACUAUUACUCUUCUGGGCAUUUGGUGGGACGACUGUGUACCUAUGGCCAUAGUGACGGAUGUUGCCAUUGCUCUCAACUUAUUUCUAUUCCAAGAAAGUCUCAGCGACUGCUCUGGUACACACUCCUUGAGUACCUGGAGCUGACUAGAAGUGGGAUUUCUUGGUUAUGAGUGUGAACAGUGCAAAGUCUGCUCAUCUUCACUGCGUGGAGGCAGCUGUGUUAAGUGUGUAGCUGUGAAGUUGGCCCUCCUAGGGUGGGAAGGCAUUUGGAAAGUAGAUCUGGACAAUGUUGAAUCCUUGGCUGGGAGAUCAGCACAUUUUUUAAGAGCUGACAGCCACCCCUGCACGCUGCAGUGUAGAAUUAAUGAAGACACAAGUAUAAGGAAGCCUCUAAUUGAAUGCAGCAUAGAGCAAGCAGAGUCGAACACACAGCAUUCCCAGCUGAAAUCCCACGUGUUGGCUUCUAACCCUCCUGGACGGCCGGCACAAGAAAAUAUUUCUGGGCUGUGUCUCGGGCAGCCUGUUCUAUCCGCGUGGCCAAAAGAGAACAAGCAUGGCCUGUCUCCUGGAUAGAGGCACUGGGUUAUCUGGAAUCCAAGAUUGCCUUUGGUAAAGCUCUUGUUGGGUUGGCUAAAAGGCAUGGCAUAGGAGAGAAAAGAAAGAACCCCAAGAAACAGAGGUGUUUGGGCAGGAGCCCUCUGCUAUAGUUCAUGUCUGUUACCAGUUCGUGUGUGACAGCUCUGGUUGGCUGGAGGUGGACAGCCCUUCUCCAUCACUCCGGGCAAGCUCCAUCAAUCCCCUGCUUGGUCUUGUACAUCCCUCGAUAUGCAGAUUCCCAUGUGAGGCAGAAUGGGAACACAUCUUCCUUUCAGAAUUCCUGGUUGGUGAUUCAUAGCAUGGUUAUCCAGCUGCUUUGUCUCCUGGGGCCAUCCCUGGGGAUGAUCCCCCCGCCCCCCCGCCCUACCACCAUGUUUGGUCCUUGCUGCUGUGUGACUUUCUGGUGGGGGGUGGGGUGGAAAUUGCUGAGUGGCCUACAACAGAUCUGAACCUGAGAUGACCAAAGGAAUCCUGGGCAAGCACUGCUUUCAGCCUCAAAGAAGUUUCUCUCUGCAGUGGAUGGCUGAGACGGCAGACUGGUGACUUCUCAAGAUGCUGAGAAUAAGUGACAGCCGGGUGUUCAGCCUUAAGGCUGCGAUUGCAGUGUGUAUCACAUCGUGCCUGCUCCUAAAGGUCUCUCCUGAGUGCCCGCCACACUCCAGAAUGGGCUCUAGUCAAGUUCACCUAAAGUCUCCAUGCUGCC